rnacentral:tRNA from 1 species
UUGGAGUGUAGUUUAAAUAAAACAUCUAAAUUGCACUUAGAAAAUAAUUUUUUCACUCUG